rnacentral:rRNA from 2 species
UGCAGUCGAGCGAAUGGAUUGAGAGCUUGCUCUCAAGAAGUUAGCGGCGGACGGGUGAGUAACACGUGGGUAACCUGCCCAUAAGACUGGGAUAACUCCGGGAAACCGGGGCUAAUACCGGAUAACAUUUUGAACUGCAUGGUUCGAAAUUGAAAGGCGGCUUCGGCUGUCACUUAUGGAUGGACCCGCGUCGCAUUAGCUAGUUGGUGAGGUAACGGCUCACCAAGGCAACGAUGCGUAGCCGACCUGAGAGGGUGAUCGGCCACACUGGGACUGAGACACGGCCCAGACUCCUACGGGAGGCAGCAGUAGGGAAUCUUCCGCAAUGGACGAAAGUCUGACGGAGCAACGCCGCGUGAGUGAUGAAGGCUUUCGGGUCGUAAAACUCUGUUGUUAGGGAAGAACAAGUGCUAGUUGAAUAAGCUGGCACCUUGACGGUACCUAACCAGAAAGCCACGGCUAACUACGUGCCAGCAGCCGCGGUAAUACGUAGGUGGCAAGCGUUAUCCGGAAUUAUUGGGCGUAAAGCGCGCGCAGGUGGUUUCUUAAGUCUGAUGUGAAAGCCCACGGCUCAACCGUGGAGGGUCAUUGGAAACUGGGAGACUUGAGUGCAGAAGAGGAAAGUGGAAUUCCAUGUGUAGCGGUGAAAUGCGUAGAGAUAUGGAGGAACACCAGUGGCGAAGGCGACUUUCUGGUCUGUAACUGACACUGAGGCGCG